rnacentral:lncRNA from 1 species
CGGAGUGAGGACGGUGACAGCCACGCGCGCGCGUACGCGCCCGAUGCAGCGCGGCCCCGUGACCCUAGUCGGCCGCUGAGAGGCGCGCGGAGUCUGGGCCGCUGCCGUCUAGGGGUCCCGUCCCGAGGCGUCCCCGGCAUCUCCGGCCCGAAUCCCGGAGUGCCGGGUCGCGCCUGCACCGAAGGUCCCGGCUCCUGUGCCCUCCCUGCAGCCGUCAGGGCCCGUCCCCCAAC